CCUACGGGAGGCAGCAGUGAGGAAUAUUGGUCAAUGGGCGUGAGCCUGAACCAGCCAAGUCGCGUGAGGGAUGAAGGUUCUAUGGAUCGUAAACCUCUUUUAUAAGGGAAUAAAGUGCGGGACGUGUCCCGUUUUGUAUGUACCUUAUGAAUAAGGAUCGGCUAACUCCGUGCCAGCAGCCGCGGUAAUACGGAGGAUCCGAGCGUUAUCCGGAUUUAUUGGGUUUAAAGGGUGCGUAGGCGGCCUUUUAAGUCAGCGCUGAAAGUCUGUGGCUCAACCAUAGAAUUGCAGUUGAAACUGGGAGGCUUGAGUAUGUUUGAGGUAGGCGGAAUGCGUGGUGUAGCGGUGAAAUGCUUAGAUAUCACGCAGAACCCCGAUUGCGAAGGCAGCUUGCCAAGCCAUGACUGACGUUGAUGCACGAAAGCGUGGGGAUCAAACAGGAUUAGAUACCCGGGUAGUC
rnacentral:rRNA from 1 species